rnacentral:rRNA from 1 species
CUGAGUACAAUCGCCUUGAGUUGAUCUGGCUCAGAGUGAACGCUGGCGGCAGGCCUAACACAUGCAAGUCGAGCGGCAGCACGGGUAGCAAUACCUGGUGGCGAGCGGCGGACGGGUGAGGAAUACAUCGGAAUCUGCCUUGUCGUGGGGGAUAACGUAGGGAAACUUACGCUAAUACCGCAUACGACCGAGAGGUGAAAGCGGGGGAUCGCAAGACCUCGCGCGACAAGAUGAGCCGAUGUCGGAUUAGCUAGUUGGCGGGGUAAAGGCCCACCAAGGCGACGAUCCGUAGCUGGUCUGAGAGGAUGAUCAGCCACACUGGAACUGAGACACGGUCCAGACUCCUACGGGAGGCAGCAGUGGGAAUAUUGGACAAUGGGCGCAAGCCUGAUCCAGCCAUGCCGCGUGGGUGAAGAAGGCCUUCGGGUUGUAAAGCCCUUUUGUUGGGGAAGAAAUCGUACGGGCGAAUAUCCCGUGCGGAUGACGGUACCCAAAGAAUAAGCACCGGCUAACUUCGUGCCAGCAGCCGCGGUAAUACGAAGGGUGCAAGCGUUACUCGGAAUUACUGGGCGUAAAGCGUGCGUAGGCGGUUUGUUAAGUCCGCUGUGAAAGCCCUGGGCUCAACCUGGGAAUUGCAGUGGAUACUGGCAAGCUAGAGUGCGGUAGAGGAUGGUGGAAUUCCCGGUGUAGCGGUGAAAUGCGUAGAGAUCGGGAGGAACACCCGUGGCGAAGGCGGCAUCUGGACAGCACUGACGCUGAGCACGAAGCGUGGGAGCAACAG